UGUGCUGCAGCCAGAAGCUUUGGAGAGCAACUCAAAAAUCAACAUUCGUCUUGUGAUACUGGAUCUUAGCUUUAUUAGAUUUGAAGGUUUGCUGCUGGAUCCCCUGCACUGAAAACUCAGUCGUUUUACUCAUUUACUGACUUAUUGAAGAGUGAAUACGGGCUAACAUUUGCAUAGGUUUCGGAUCUUAUGAGUUGAGCUAAAAACAACCCAAAGGCUAGCUUCAGAGGCCUCUUCCAUACGUGGGGCAAUUCUUACCCUGGAAUCUAAAACCUUCGCCCACCAGAGCCUCCUCCAUAACCACCACCAGAGCCUCCUCCAUAACCACCUACAAAAGAACCGUGAUUGAGAUGUGACACAAAAGCUGUGGCAUCUGCAAAAGUUCAUAUACUAAAUAUUUCAGUUAAAAUAGUUCCUGAACUGCCGCGUCUCAUAGUCAAACUUUUCAAUGUCCAAAAGAGCCUUAGUGGAACGGAGACGGUUCACAAUGAUCUAAUACCACAUACAACACAGCAAUGUUCACUUACCGCCGUAUGGGCCUCCACCACCACCGCUCCUUCCACCACCUCCAUAGUUUCCUCCCUUCAUCGGGCCGUAGUUAGAGGAAGAUUGAUUGUUGUAGCUGCCGAAGUCGUUGUAGCCCCCGCCACCUCCAAAGUUGCCUCCACCUCCACUGUUGUAGUUAUCAUAGCCACCGCCGCCACCGUAGCCUCCACCCUGGUUUCCAUAGCCACCACCACCACCACCUCCGCCGCCUCCUCCAUAACCGCGGUUGCCUCCGUAAUUAGGUCCACCUCCACCAUAGCCACCUGAUAGAGAGAUGGGAGAUAAGCAUCACGGAAACACUGCUGAAAGGUCAAAUGUCAUGUGAAUCACAUUCUUAAAGGCUUCGUAUAUACCAUUCCCUCCGUAGCCAUUAUAUCCAUCACCUCCACCGUAACCACCUCUUCCUCCUCCAUAUCCACCUACGAAAGGAAACGCAGUUCAAAGUUAAAAACUCAUAAGGAACACAGUUGAUGAGGGCUGUCACUUUUGUGAAAAAAUCAUUUUCGAUUUUUAAGAUACAAGUGUUCAUUGAAUCGAUUGUAAAAUCGAUUUUCCAUGUCUAAAAAAAGACGUUUCCUUUUUCAACGCCAAAUAACGGACAAACGUGAAGAAAGCACUGGAAACGCAAAAAGUCAGCAGUAUUUCUUAUUUAUUGGCAAGAAGUUUCGUGCAGAAUAACAAACAGCAACAGGAGUGCAACAUUCUCGGAAAAAUAUAUACCGUAUUAUAAGUCGCACUUUUUUUUUCAUAGUUAGGCUGGUCCUGCAACUUAUAGUCAGGUGCGACUUAUCAAAAUUAAUUUGACAUGAACCAAGAGAAAUGGACUAAGAAAAAUGAAUCAAGAGAAAACAUUACUGUCUCCAGCCACCAGAGGGCGCUCUAUGCUGCUCAGUUCUGCUGUAGUCUACACUGAAAACAUAGAGCGCCCUCUUGCGGCUGUAGACGGUAAUGUUUUUUAUUGGUUCUAAAUAAAUGCGAUUUAUAGUCCAGUGCGACUUAUAUAUGUUUUUUUUCCUCAUCAUGAUGUAUUUUUGAUGUAUUCUUAGAUGCGACUUACAGUCCGAAAAAUACGGUAUGCAGAGGGGACGGCUGUCAUAAAAGAAAAAGGCUUCAACCCGGCUCCCUUUAUGAUUUAGGCAUUUCAAAAAUCUCCAAGAUUAUUUUAAAUAAUGAUUCAAUCCAAUUCAAACAACUGUUCAAAAAAUGAAACUUUAAAUGGACUUGAGAACAGGCCAUGUGUGUUUUUUUUUAUUUUUAUUGAACAUAACCGACACUACCG
rnacentral:lncRNA from 1 species